CUGGGCUAUGGCGACAUGUAUCCACAGACGUGGCUGGGCAUGAUGGUAGGGGCGCUGUGCGCGUUGGCCGGGGUGUUGACCAUCGCCAUGCCGGUCCCUGUCAUCGUCAAUAAC
rfam:Larimichthys crocea isolate SSNF unplaced genomic scaffold scaffold61, whole genome shotgun sequence.